GGGAUUAGAUACCCCACUAUGCUUAGCCCUAAACUUUGAUGAUACAACCACUAAUAACAUCCGCCAGGGUACUACAAGCGCCAGCUUAAAACCCAAAGGACUUGACGGUGUCUCAGACCCACCUAGAGGAGCCUGUUCUAGAACCGAUAACCCCCGUUCAACCUCACCACCCCUUGUCCCCUCCGCCUAUAUACCGCCGUCGCAAGCUUACCCUGUGAAGGUCCUACAGUAAGCAAAAUGGGCAAACCCCAAAACGUCAGGUCGAGGUGUAGCUUACGAGGUGGGAAGAAAUGGGCUACAUUUUCUAACUCAGAAUAUUACGAACGGCACUGUGAAACCUGUGCCUGAAGGUGGAUUUAGUAGUAAAAAAUAAGUAGAGAGUCUUUUUGAACCAGGCUCUGAGACGCGCACACACCGCCCC
rnacentral:rRNA from 1 species